AUUGUAAGGGGUUAAUAUGUAGUUUGUAUUUGAAUAGUUAGAUUAACGUGUUAGUAAUCCAAUUGUAGGCGGUUCGUGUGUGGAUCUCGUCAGCAUAUCAUCGCAAACAGGUAAUCCCCAACCAUAGUGGGCUUGGAGCUGUGAGGGAAUUCGGAGUGGCCACCCGUUCUGAAAGUUUGAUUUUCUUCUGGUGAACUGGACAUCCUUUUAUUUACGUUUGAAGUUUUGUGUUUUUAAAUGUAAUAAGGCCGCUUAAUUAUUUUUGAUGGUUUUAAUAUGUAUUACUAAGAUAGGUAUUACUUAUUUUAACUGUUGAAAUUGGAUAGCUUUAGGGCGCGUUUUCAAAAACAACAA